rnacentral:rRNA from 1 species
CGGACGGGUGAGUAAUGUCUGGGAAACUGCCUGAUGGAGGGGGAGUAACUACUGGAAACGGUAGCUAAUACCGCAUAACGUCGCAAGACCAAAGAGGGGGACCUUCGGGCCUCUUGCCAUCAGAUGUGCCCAGAUGGGAUUAGCUAGUAGGUGGGGUAACGGCUCACCUAGGCGACAUCCCUAGCUGGUCUGAGAGGAUGACCAGCCACACUGGAACUGAGACACGGUCCAGACUCCUACGGGAGGCAGCAUG